GACAGAGGGGGCAAGCGUUGCUCGGAAUUACUGGGCGUAAAGCGCGCGUAGGCGGCUUUGUAAGUUAGAGGUGAAAGCCCGGAGCUCAACUCCGGAACUGCCUUUAAGACUGCAUCGCUAGAAUCAUGGAGAGGUGAGUGGAAUUCCGAGUGUAGAGGUGAAAUUCGUAGAUAUUCGGAAGAACACCAGUGGCGAAAGGCGACUCACUGGACAUGUAUUGACGCUGAGGUGCGAAAGCGUGGGGAGCAAACAGG
rnacentral:rRNA from 1 species